rnacentral:lncRNA from 1 species
UUUGUUUCGGCUGUGCAGGCUUGAAUGGUUCUCUGUAUCCUGCUUUGAGCGCUGCUGUUGGGUGCUUUGAGGGGACCUCAAGUAAGCUCCGUUUUUGAAACAUGGAUGCAGUGACUUAUGAUGAUGUGCAUGUGAACUUCACUGGGGAAGAGUGGGAUUUGCUGGAUUCUUCCCAGAAAAGUCUCUAUGAAGAGGUGAUGUUGGAGACCUACCAUAGGCUACAAUUGGGAAGACCAUCAUAUUGAAGAACAUUGUCAAAAUUCUAGAAGACAUGAAAGGCAUGAAAGAAGUCAUAUUGGAGAGAAACCCUAUGAACGUAAUCAAUGUGGGGAUUAGUUACAUGAUUGGAUGAAUCUCAGAAGAGACUUUGAACUUUGAACUUUUAACAUUUUUGAGACUGGUAUAGAUGAUGGGGACUUUUAAAGUUGGACCUCAUGUAGUUUUCAUUAUGCUAUGUUUAAGUAUGGUCCCCAUAUAUUCCUGUACUCCAACAAGCUUAUAGGGGCCAGGUAGUGGAAUGUGGGAGUUUAAAUAUGUUUGUCACAGGGAGUAGCUCUAUUCAGAAGUGUGACCUUGUUGGAGGAAGUGGAUCAGUCUGGUGGUAGGCUUUGAAGCUCUACUCAGUGCAGAACAGACCCUCCUGGUAGCCCCCUGAAAGACAGUCUCUUCCUGGAUGCCUUUAGAUCAAAAUGCAGAACUCUCAACUCCUUGUCUGCCUGCAUGUUGCCAUGCUUCCUGCUAUGAUGAAAAUAGACUAAACCUCUGAAACUGUAAGCCAGCCCCAGUUAAAGGUUUGCUUUUAUGAGAGUUGCCUUGGCCAUGAUGUCUAUUCCUAGCAAUGGAAAUGCUAAGACAGAAACCCUGUGAGUAUAUGGUGAAGCCUUUGCACAAUUCUGUAGGCUUCAUCAUCAUGAAAGAAUAUGUACUGGAGAUAAACCUUUUGAUUGUAUUCACUAUGGUUAAGCUUCUUACUAUGGUUAAGAAGGAAUGAGUUUGACAGAUAGUUAUCAUUCUGUCUGUUUAGACGGUGAGCAUCACACAGGAGUUUAUGACAAGCUCAUUCUUAGGAACUGUCUACAUCUGUUAAAUCAGAAGUUUUGCUCUCAGCAAUGUAAAAUCUGUAACAUUCAGGAAACAAGCCCAGGUCACUUUCUUGUAUUAGUUCUCACGACUUUGGAUUGUGAAUUACAGUUUCCUGCUCGUUUAAUUCCAAAGGAGUUGUCUAGCUUCUCUUUAAGGAAAACUGAGGUUUAAACAACUAUAUAAAAAAUAGAAAUACGUAUGUAAUGUUAUACAGCAUUGCUCCAUUAAUUUUAUGUGAAACAUAUACAAUGUGAUACAUCAAAAUGUUAAAUGUCUAAAUUUGUUCUCCAAAGCAAAAAUGAAAGGGCCACCAUC